GCCUGGCUGGCUUAGCUGGUAGAGCAUCCGACUCUUGAUCCCAGGGUUGUGAGUUCAAGCCCCACGUUGAGCA
rnacentral:tRNA from 1 species